rnacentral:rRNA from 1 species
GACGAACGCUGGCGGCGUGCUUAACACAUGCAAGUCGAGCGGUAAGGCCCCUUCGGGGGUACACGAGCGGCGAACGGGUGAGUAACACGUGGGUGACCUGCCCUCAGCUCUGGGAUAAGCCUGGGAAACUGGGUCUAAUACCGGAUAUGACUCCAUGACGCAUGUCGUGGGGUGGAAAGCCUUGUGCGGCUGGGGAUGGGCCCGCGGCCUAUCAGCUUGUUGGUGGGGUGAUGGCCUACCAAGGCGACGACGGGUAGCCGGCCUGAGAGGGCGACCGGCCACACUGGGGACUGAGACACGGGCCCAGACUCCUACGGGAGGCAGCAGUGGGGAAUCUUGCGCAAUGGGCGAAAGCCUGACGCAGCGACGCCGCGUGAGGGAUGACGGCCUU